GGCAGAAUAGCUCAGUGGUUAACCUUCGGGUUAGAGCAUCUCACAUGAACUGAGAAGGUCGCAGGUUCAAAUCCUGCUUCAGCCA